AUUGAACGCUGGCGGCAGGCCUAACACAUGCAAGUCGAACGAGUGGCGGACGGGUGAGUCAUGUCUGGGAAACUGCCCGAUGGAGGGGGAUAACUACUGGAAACAGUAGCUAAUACCGCAUACCAACGGGUGUGCCCAGAUGGGAUUAGCUAGUAGGUGGGGUAACGGGUAACUUAGGCGACGAUCCCUAGCUGGUCUGAGAGGAUGACCAGCCACCUUGGAACGUAGACACGGUCCAGACUCCUAAGUGAGGCAGCAGUGGGGAAUAUUGCACAAUGGGCGCAAGCCUGAUGCAGCCAUGCCGAGUGUAUGAAGAAGGCCUUCGGGUUGUAAAGUACUUUCAGCGAGGAUGCGUUACUCGCAGAAGAAGCACCGGCUAACUCCGUGCCAGCAGCCGCGGUAAUAC
rnacentral:rRNA from 1 species